rnacentral:rRNA from 1 species
CAGUCGCCGCGGGAAUACGAAGGGUGCGAGCGUUAAUCGGAAUUACUGGGCGUAAAGCGUGCGCAGGCGGUUGUGUAAGACAGGUGUGAAAUCCCCGGGCUUAACCUGGGAACUGCGCUUGUGACUGCACAGCUAGAGUAUGGCAGAGGGGGGUGGAAUUCCACGUGUAGCAGUGAAAUGCGUAGAGAUCGGGAGGAACAUCAGUGGCGAAGGCGGCCAUCUGGGACAACACUGACGCUGAGGCACGAAAGCGUGGGGAGCAAACAGGAUUAGAGACCCCCGUAGUCCCUGUCUCUUAUAA